AUUGAACGCUGGCGGCAGGCUUAACACAUGCAAGUCGAGCGAGCGGCGGACGGGUGAGUAAUGUAUGGGAACCUGCCUGUUGGAGGGGGAUAACUACUGGAAACGGUAGCUAAUACCGCAUACCAUCAGAUCUGCCCAGAUGGGAUUAGCUAGUUGGUGGGGUAAUGGCUCACCUAGGCGACGAUCCCUAGCUGGUCUGAGAGGAGGACCAGCCACACUGGAACUGAGACACGGUCCAGACUCCUACGGGAGGCAGCAGUGGGGAAUAUUGCACAAUGGGCGCAAGCCUGAUGCAGCCAUGCCGCGUGUGUGAAGAAGGCCUUCGGGUUGUAAAGCACUUUCAGCGAGGAGGCGUUACCCGCAGAAGAAGCACCGGCUAACUCCGUGCCAGCAGCCGCGGUAAUUC
rnacentral:rRNA from 1 species